rnacentral:tRNA from 1 species
GCGGGUGUGAUCUAGUCUGGUAGGAUCGGAGCUUCCCAAGCUUCUCGCUCGGGUUCAAAUCCCGGCACCCGCA